UGACUUGUCAUUUAAUAUUCAUGUUCUUACUUGACAAAUAUAAUUUUUAAAUAGGCAUGCUUUUCAGAUAAAUUAUUGCAAGUUCUUUUUCUGAAUUGAACAUCUAAUGAGUACAGUCGACGCAACAAGGAUUGCGCACUUUGCAACGUAAUUUUAUUGUACUUGCAGUUUUACUAACUAUCAAUCCAUUAUGUCAACUUAGAAUGAAUUCUUGGAUUUUCAAACUAAUAUACUUGUAGAAGCUGAAGGAGCUGUAAAAAAAAAGGCCUGACUACGUUUCGCUAAUAUUCCUGAGUGAUGGUGGCUAUUUACAAGCAUGUAAGUUAUGUGUGUCCAUAAGGACCUCUUAAACAUCAACAUUUCAUUUCGCUUAGUACUGCAGAAACCAACUUCAUAGACCACGUUCAAUAAUAAAUAUUCACAAAACAGAAUCCCAUUCAGUAUUAGUUUCUGUUGAACUUCCUAAUUGAAGCUAGUGGAGUUUCUCAAUACAUUUUCAUUCGGCAACAACGCCCCGGGAAAUAAUUAAUAUGGCUAAUAUAAUUAGUAGUUGUUCUCUUACAACUUUGCUGUUUAUUUAACACGAAAGUGACAUGGGUGUAAUUCUAGUUAAAGUUAACAGCGAAUAAAGAUAUGGUAUCUUUAUAGAUAAA